UACGAAGGGGGCUAGCGUUGUUCGGAUUUACUGGGCGUAAAGCGCACGUAGGCGGAUUGUUAAGUCGGGGGUGAAAUCCUGGAGCUCAACUUCAGAAUUGCCUUCGAUACUGGCUUUCUAGAGGCUGGAAGAGGUUAGUGGAAUUCCCAGUGUAGAGGUGAAAUUCGUAGAUAUCUGGAGGAACACCGGUGGCGAAGGCGACAUCCUGGACCGGUAUUGACGCUGAGGCGCGAAAGCCAGGGGAGCAAACGGG
rnacentral:rRNA from 1 species